AUCGAGCGCCGGGCUUCAACGGCUCGGUGUUCCCUUCCCGGUCGUCGUUGCGCUAUGAACGCUGAGGAAGAUGCUAUCUGGGGUUAUCGGUCCGUCGGGAAACGGCGGCGACUUGCAAAUGCCACAGAAGCUGGUAAUAUGCCUCCUCGUGCUCAUGCGGGCGGGGACAAGUCAGCCCGGCGGGGUAGCCGGGUUAAAGGAGCCAAAUCACAGCGGCACUCCGAGAGGGUGCCUAUUGACCACUCGCCGAGAGGCGUGAGGGCAGCCUCUGUUCAGGAGAUGUCCUCGCCUGCAUCAAAUGCCAACAAGUCAUCUCCACCACAAGAUGCAGGCAGACCCCUGUCCCAGGUUGAAUUUCCCAAUGCCUCCGAGGGCAAACAAAUGCCCAAAGAGGCCAGGCCUGUCCAUGACGGCUACUGCCCAAUCUGUCAAAUGCCCUUUUCCUUAUUGCUGAUAGAAACACCCCGGUGGCAUGUUGCUGAGUGUUUGGAUACUCCGGGAUGCACAGAUAUUGAAUGCCCUGAUGGCUUGCUUUGCAACAAUACAAUUCCAAUACACUACAAACGAUAUUCCCAUUUGCUGCUUGCUGAAAGUAGAGCACUGGGCCAGAGUGUUGUUCAGUCUACAUUUUUGCAUAGUUCAGUAAGGGAUGCCUUCACAAUUUCACCAGAUCCUAACAAUAAUCAUCAGUCUUUACAGAACAAUCAAUCUCCUUGGAUUCAAGAACAUCUGACGAACAAAAAUCAAAAUGCCCUCCUACUGCUAAAAUCUCCUGCCUUCAAAGUUAAGGAGAAAAGCUCGAGUAAAUUCAAAGCAGCAAGCUCAGUAAAAAGAAGCACUUCUUCUGAAAAUGUUUCAAGAGGAGGUGUGUCUGCAGCACCACCCGGUAGCCUACACAGAAGAUUGCCUCAUUCAGCAUCACAAUUAACAAAGGAGAUGGAACCUGGAAUUAGUACGGAAGGAUUUUUUAAUGUAAACAGUACAAAAGUAAAGCUAAACAGUCUUCUAGAAGAUAAAUCUACUUCUGGUCUUGGUUCAAAUGCCAGUAAUAAUAACAAGGAUGAUAUCAGUUACUCUCCAUUUCGUUGUAAUGAAAUUCCAGAUCAAAAAAGGUUAUCUUCAACAAGGAGAAGAUUGUUUCAUGGUCAGACAAUUAAACAUGAUUGUAAACUUGAAGACAACAAUUGUUCUAGCUCUGUAGAGGUUAAUAACCAUAGGCAAGAAUUGGUUCAUAAAUCCUGUGGUCUAAAGGACACAAUCACAAUUGACUUUAAUACUGUUGCUAUUGAUCUAGAUUCCAGCCUAUUAACUGACAGUGCUACCAUUCUAACUAAAAAUAGAAUAGGUAUUGCAACACAAGCGCACCAAGCGAAAGCUUGUUAUGGGAUUCCAUUGGAUAAUGAGGAGAUGAAACAGAUGAGGAAUUGGUCACAAACUAAUUUACCAGAGUCAAACUUGAUUAAAUUGGAAUCAGUCCCCUUAAGUUCUGAUAGCUUACUGAAGCCUCUUCAAAUUAAACAAGAGCCAACCAGUUUACCAGAAUCUACCCAAGUUAAGCAAGAACCAACCAAAUCAUUCCAGCUUGCUCAAAGUUCUAUUGUGCAGGAGCUUCAUGAUUGCCUAGCAAGAAAAGAAGAGGAAGAUCAUUUUGGUUGUUCUGCAAAGACAGCGUUGCCUCAGUAUUCCUUAAUUUUGCCUUCAUUGAAUGUUGUAAAACAGCAUAGUUGCCAUUCUGAAGCUCUUAUUUCUUCAAAAAGCAUUGGACUUCAAAAGAGUGGAACAACAACUUUGGAAAUGGCAUCACCGGACUUCAUGGAUAGAGGUCCUAUAAAAAUCCCCAAAAGGAGAGAUUUAAAUAAAGAAUUAAAGCAAACUGAUAUUGGAGUUUUUUUUGGACUUCAACCCAAAAUCAAAGACGAACCAAAAUGUCCAAAAAACAUACCUCAAGGAAAAGCAAAUGAAUUGGUUUCUGAGCUUUCAUAUAAUGAAAGAAGGCAAAGACAAAGAAAGAGAAAAAUAGAAAACUCUGUAGGUGAUGAAACUUGCAUAGGCACUGUCGACAAACCUCAAAUGGAACUAAGUGAUGCACAAAGAGGAAGAACAAAAAGGCAAAGAACUGGAGUAAGCACACAUAAAAAAGCCAAGCAGUGUCCUUUUUACAAGAAGAUUCCAGGAACUAAUUUCACAGUGGAUGCCUUCCAAUAUGGUGAUAUUCAGGGUUGUACUGCCUACUUCCUGACUCACUUUCACUCGGAUCAUUAUGGAGGCCUUACCAAGAAUUUCAAAUGUCCUAUUUACUGCAGCACGAUAACAAGCAAUUUGGUGAUAUCUAAGCUUAAAGUGCAGGCACAGUAUGUCACAAGCCUGCCUAUGAAUACUGAAUGUGUUGUGGAUGGAAUUAAGGUAGUCCUUUUGGAUGCAAACCACUGUCCAGGUGCUGUUAUGUUGUUAUUCCAGCUUCCAAAUGGUAAAACACUGUUGCAUACUGGUGAUUUUCGAGCUAAUACUUCCAUGGAGCGUUACACUCAUCUCAUGGGGCAAAAGAUUGACACUCUUUAUCUGGAUACCACAUACUGCAGUCCAGAAUACACGUUUCCUUCACAGCAAGAAACCAUCCAGUUUGUUGCUAAUGUUGCCUUUGAAACUAUAAUGAUGCAUCCCAGGACAUUGAUCGUCUGUGGUACUUAUUCUAUUGGAAAAGAGAGAGUUUUCCUAGCUAUAGCUGAGGUACUUGGAUGUAAAGUUUGUAUUACUCGAAAUAAACUCGAAAUUCUACAGUGUUUGGAUUCUGACCGAAUAAACUCUACCAUCACUAUGGACUGGGAAAACUCUCAACUUCAUUUACUACCUAUGAUGCAAGUUACCUUUAAGGGUUUGCAAGCACACAUGAACAAGUUCCCAGGAAAGUAUGAUCAAAUUGUAGCAUUCAAACCAACUGGAUGGGCACACUCAGGCCUGGGUGGUACAAUGCAUAACAUCAGGCCUCGAGUUCAAGGAAAGUUCACAAUUUAUGCUUUUCGUCUUCGAAUUUCAGGUGAAGUAAAGUCUCUGUGACGUGGUUUUCUAACCUUGGAUGGCAUGGGAGAAAUCUGGAAACAACAUGCUUUGAGAAUCAAGACUGCCUUAUAAUGAAAUGCUUCUAGAAGCAUAGUGGGGUAAUCAAAACUGAUUGCAAGACUUCAGAUGGGGUCCAACCAAGGUUCUGUGUAAUGGAAGCAUGGCGGACUUCGGAGUAAAGGCACCGAAGAGAUUCUUAUCGUUCAAUGUGCUAAGCAUGCUGGGAGGAUAAGAGCUGACAGAGUGUGUGAAAAAAGGAAGCAAGCUGGAGCCAAAUAAUGAAAUGCAAUGUGACCCUGUCCUUGAAAUUAUCAUUCUUCUGAAUACGAGCAGUGUGCAAUGUUAACAUAUUUUCCAGAACAGUUAUAUUUAUUCAGGUAUAUGGCCAAGGAUAUUCAUAAUAGGUUGGAUUCUUCAGUGAGUGGACAAGAAUUGCCUUACAUGUUGAAGUAAUAGCAUACUUUGUGUAAAAAUCUGUUCUGUUAGAGAGAGAGAAAAAAUUUGUUCCUCAUUUUAUCAAGGUUUCAGAAUAGUGGUUUCUGACCAUCUAUCUGUAGUUGCAGAAGUAGAACAGGAGAACUGGUCUGAAAAAAAGGAGCAACGGUAUCAGACGGAGAAAACUUCACUCUCCUCUGGAUCUUUAAACUUGUCACUGACUCUUUUCAGAUAAUAAGAUCUCGGAUGGGUGAUCCCUUACUCUGAGAGUAUGCCCAUUGGACCCAGCUUGCCUCACAAAAGGAAACAAUCUCUAUGCAUCUCAGAGAUAGCAAGAACUGCAGAUGCUAGCGUCAGAGACAACACAGUGUGGAGCUGGAGGAACACCACAGGUCAGGCAACAUCAGAGGAAUAGGAAAGUUGACAUUUCGGAAGAAGGAUCCCCACCUAAAAUCUCUAAGCAUCUACCAUGUUAAGCCCACUAUGAUUUGCACAUGUUUCAAUAAGGCCGUCCUUCUUUCUUCUAAAUUCCAAUGUGUACAGGCCCAAUCAACUCAACCUCUCCUCAUAAGAAAAUCCCCCCAUACCUGGAGCAGCCUAGUGAAUCUUCUCUGGACUGUCUUCAAUGCCAGUAUGUCUUUCAUUAGAGAGGGGGAUACUUAACCCCCAUUCAGGUGCCUCCUCCUCACAUGGAGAUGGGGCUGGGAAUUGGCAGGAUAUAGCCAGACAGAGGAAGGGCCACACACUGACCCCUUGGCAGUUUUCACUUGGGACAUUGUAGAGAUGGCUGGGCCUUUCACCCCCACUCUGUCUGCCACCAACCCAUUGGAAAUUCAUGCCAAAGUGGGUUCACACGUCUCUGGCUAGAAGACCUUUGGCUAGACAAAAGAUUCCUGGGGUCACCCAAGUCUGCAGGCUUCCUCCAUCCAGCUGUAGAACCAGGGAGUGCACUUAGAGGUAGUGGGAGGGAGAGAAAGAGGAAAAUGUAUUGGAGGGCAUUUUGGUGGCACAUGUGAAGAAGACUAUCUCGUUGUUUGAGCUUUGUACAUGAAUGCACUCUUGAGGGCUUGACAGGGCAGCUGUGGCCAUGACAAGAGGUCAUAACCUUGGAGUAAGAGGCUACCCAUUUAAGACAGUGAUGAGGAGGAUUUUUUUUUCUCUACAAAGGUAGUAAAUCUGUGGAUUUUUUUUACCACAGAGAGUUAUUGAGGCUGGCUCGUUAAGCAUGUUCAAGAUUGAGAUAGACUGAUUUUUAAUCAGUUAGUCAAUCAAGGGCUAUGGGGAAAAGGCAGGAAAGUGGAGUUGAGGAUUAUCAGAACAGCCAUGACCUCAUUAAAUGGCAGAGCAGACUUGGAGGGCCGAAUGGCCUACUCCUGCUCCUAAGUCUUACAGUGUUAGGUCCAGCCAGUGUCACUUCACAGUCUAUAUCUGCUGGCCUCAAACAAAGCGUGUAGUGAAUUUGCUUUUAAUUCUGGUGUUAUGAAAAAUGUUCUGCAUACAAUAAAAUGUGUGAGCUCUCACAUAAUUUGAUUUAAAUUACCAGAGAACACACAUUGGUGUACUAUAAAGAAAGUAAAUAUAUCUAUCCUCAUCUGAGUAGCCUGUAAUAGCUGAUACUAUCUCUUCCUUAGUAAUUCUCAGCUGGGUUUAGGAUAAAAAAACAAGAUUAACACAGAGUGGAAGUGCCAAUGUAAUUGUUGCUUCUAAAAAUAGUUGUCCAAAGCAUUUGUUUUCCUUUUGAGCAAGAAUCGGUUUCUGUGCUCAAUGGGCUUUUCAGUCCUUUAUCAAAUCUGUUACUUCUUGACCUGUACUUGUGCUAAAUUAUUGAAAAUUAUGAGAUGUGCCCUUAGGGUGACCUUUGUCAUUCUAUGACUUAUUGGUUGAUGUGAAGUUGUCGUCUUCAUGUUAAUUAGCUCCCUGAAGCUAAUUUUCUUUUCAUAGUAGGGUGACAUUUGCAAAAUAUAAUCAUUC